GCCGGGUGCAGUGGCGAACACCUGUAAUCCUAGUGGCUUGGGAAGCUGAGACAGGAGGAUCAUGAGUUUAAAGGCAGCCUCAGCAAAGGCAAGGUGCUAAGCAACUCAGUGAGAUCCUGUCUCUA
rnacentral:sRNA from 1 species